UACGUAGGGCGCGAGCGUUGUCCGGAAUUACUGGGCGUAAAGAGCUCGUAGGUGGUUUGUCGCGUUGUUCGUGAAAACUCACAGCUUAACUGUGGGCGUGCGGGCGAUACGGGCAGACUGGAGUACUGCAGGGGAGACGGGAAUUUCUGGUGUAGCGGUGGAAUGCGCAGAUAUCAGGAGGAACACCGGUGGCGAAGGCGGGUCUCUGGGCAGUAACUGACGCUGAGGAGCGAAAGCGUGGGGAGCGAACAGG
rnacentral:rRNA from 1 species